GGCUGUUUGGCUGUCACUUGUAGCAAUAACGGCAUUAGUUCUAGUCAGUGCUGUUUUACAUUUUUCUUUUGAUGGGUUUAGUCUUGCACUGGAGUGCCGAUGGUGAUUCUCCCUCCAGAGCCACGCUUGGGAACAUGAAGCAAGCCUGGCAUGUGGGCUGCGUGCCGGCCUUAGUGGACCUGUGGGGAUGAAGCACGCCUUUAGGGGCAGUGUCUGGCCCGGAAGCACGUGCCACCACACAGUGUCAGAGCCAGAGAAGGGGCCCAACCACCAAGACCAAGCUUGACCAGGUCGGCAUUGCCAUGACCCAGUGUGGCCCGUGGCCUCUGAAGACCCCUCUCUGCAGGGUUUGCAGGGAUCUGGAUUGCAAGGGCCGGAGUAUGUAGGUCUGGAAGCAUCUUCCUAUAAGAGCGCUUUUGCCUGGUGGGUCAGGACUCCAAGGUGCAGCAGGCUUCACAGCCCUACAAUUAGGUUCUCAGCUAAUCCCCAGAGUUCUGGUAGAACCAUCCCGGGGCGGGCGGAGGGUGGGAUUCAAGGGAGACAGGAACACAUGGGCAGGUCCUGGAAUUCGGUGGCCUGAGGACUGAGGCCAUCGCCUGGUGGAAAGGCCUGGCCAGGUUCCCGUGGCUUGGUACCUGAAUAGGCAGGUGCUGCUGGCUCCGUAGAAACCCUUUUCCCAUCUUUUGCUGUUUGCCAAACCAACCUUGCUUUGGGAGCUGCCUGCACGCCUCCCCCAGAGAAGGUCCCACCUUCUGCGCCCCUCAGACCCGAGGAGGUCUCCCAGUGAGGAGUUUGCCAAGAGGGGGACUCACAGGAAACAAGGCUUGGUGCUUGGGAGGGAGGCCCCGCUGCGUGCUCAGACUCAGCCAACCUGGAAGGUAGACGAGGAGAUAGCACCACCCACACGCCUCCACACCCCAGACUCCGAGUAAAGCGGGCAGCAGGGCAGGAGUCACCCCUUGUGGCAGUGGCCGCCGCUGUACUCCAUCCUCCCAUCGGGAAGAUCAGCUGUAAAUAAACGCUGGGCUCUUCAGAGCACCUGUCCGCGCACUGCCCUUGCUGUCCUGGGCUCUUCGCUGCAGUUCACGGGAAACAAGCCUGAGUCUGCAUCCGCGACGGCUCCGCCCGGACGCUUCUGCCUCCGGCCACCGGGUGGCGCUGCCGAGCCAGAGCCGCCGCGUCCGGAGCUUUCCAGGAGCCCCAGGCCCCGGGGAGGCGAAGCCCGCAGAGCAAAGGUGGAAACACGUGCCUACGCUGUAAAGAAAUCCUGUUCCAGAGCAUACCUGUUGUACAAACAGACACUGUUCCUAACGAGAGGAGUGACGUAUUUUCAUCACCGUUUUUAAUUUGUUUUCUUACGGGUUUACGAUUUUGAAUUUUUCUUAUUUGGUUGAAAGAAUUUUGAUUCUAUCAACCUGAGUUCAGCCUGUAAAAAGGAUGUUAAGCUGUGGGUAAAAUAUGCAAACGAAGAGAAAUAUAUUGUACAAAUUCUAUAUAAUAAGGUA